GUUGGACUGGACCUUCCUCUGCCCAGUGCGGCAGUGCCCUCCGAGCCCAAAACUCUUUCGUACAUGGGCUAAGGUUAGCUAUAAAUAGAGCGAGAACCCUAGGAAAUGUCACUUUAUUUCCCUCCCGAAUUACUUCUAGGGUUCUGAAAAGAGGCAUCGAGUUUUAUUUAUCUCCCUAACCAUGAGAGCCAAGGUAAAAUCUGCUGGAUUUCAUUAAAUUUAUUAAAUAUUGUUCGAUUAUCUAUCUCAUUUUCUCUGUACUUUAUCUUAAUUAUUUUGUAUAUGAUAUUGAAUCAAUCUACAUUGUUACGAACAAUAACAGUGGAAGAAGAAGCGGAUGAGGAGGUUGAAGAGGAAGCGCCGAAAGAUGAGGCAGAGAUCCAAGUAGUCCUGUCCCAUGAUUUCCCGAGCGUCGAUCACUUUGGCUCUUUUAAGGGUUUCUUAUUUUCAUUGUUGUUUUGAUUUCGUUAAUUUCAAUCUGUUUCAGUACUGUGGUACGUUUUGGCACUGCAUUUGUAGUCCUAGUAUCCAAUCCACGGAUAGUUUAAUAAUUUUGAAAUAUCAUUUGAAUUUAACUGUUAUAUUAACGUGCUUUACUUUUUUAUUUCAUUGCGAGUAUUACUGUAUUACAGAUUCGUUAUGCCUACAUAGUAUAACUUGGUUUUCGUAUAGUUGAAUAUGAGUUAUGUGUAACCUUUUUCUGAUACAUUUGCGCACACACUUAAUUUUGGUUAGUUAACAUGAAAAUCAGAUCAUUGCUGUGUGCUCAGAGGGUUUUACUAGUGUGAAUUGUUCUCCG
rnacentral:lncRNA from 1 species